rnacentral:rRNA from 1 species
UAAGGAAUAUUGGUCAAUGGACGCAAGUCUGAACCAGCCAUGCCGCGUGGAGGAUGAAGGUCCUCUGGAUUGUAAACUUCUUUUAUCUGGGAAGAAAUCCAUUUUUUCUAAAAUGGUUGACGGUACCAGAUGAAUAAGCACCGGCUAACUCCGUGCCAGCAGCCGCGGUAAUACGGAGGGUGCAAGCGUUAUCCGGAUUCACUGGGUUUAAAGGGUGCGUAGGUGGGCAAGUAAGUCAGUGGUGAAAUCUCCGGGCUUAACCCGGAAACUGCCAUUGAUACUAUUUGUCUUGAAUACUGUGGAGGUCAGCGGAAUAUGUCAUGUAGCGGUGAAAUGCUUAGAUAUGACAUAGAACACCAAUUGCGAAGGCAGCUGGCUACACAAAUAUUGACACUGAGGCGCGAAAGCGUGGGGAUCAAACAGGAUUAGAUACCCUGGUAGUCCACGCCCUAAACUAUGGAUACUCGACAUUUGCGAU